AUGAAAUGCCUGAGUUGGAACUGCCGGGGGCUUGGGAACCCCGAGGCAGUUCGAGAGCUUCGGAAAAUAACGAAGCAAGAAGGGCCCGCUUUGCUCUUCGUUUCGGAGACGAAGAUCAGGGCUAGACGAGUAGAGAUUCUGCAACAAAGUCUUGGCUUUGCGGGAUGCUUUGCGGUGGAUAGUGCAUGACUUAGCGGUGGAAUUGGUUUGUUCUGGUCAAGUGAUGUGAAGGUCGAGUUAAAAAACUACAGUUGUGGACACAUUGAUGUUAUGGUCUAG
rnacentral:rRNA from 1 species